rnacentral:rRNA from 1 species
GAUGAACGCUGGCGGCGUGCUUAACACAUGCAAGUCGAACGAAGCACUUGAGAAGAUUUCUUCGGAAUGAAACUUAAGUGACUGAGUGGCGGACGGGUGAGUAACGCGUGGGUAACCUGCCUCAUACAGGGGGAUAACAGUCAGAAAUGACUGCUAAUACCGCAUAAGCGCACAGUACCGCAUGGUACGGUGUGAAAAACUCCGGUGGUAUGGGAUGGACCCGCGUCUGAUUAGCUAGUUGGUGGGGUAACGGCCUACCAAGGCGACGAUCAGUAGCCGGCCUGAGAGGGCGACCGGCCACAUUGGGACUGAGACACGGCCCAAACUCCUACGGGAGGCAGCAGUGGGGAAUAUUGCACAAUGGGGGAAACCCUGAUGCAGCGACGCCGCGUGAGCGAAGAAGUAUUUCGGUAUGUAAAGCUCUAUCAGCAGGGAAGAAAAUGACGGUACCUGACUAAGAAGCCCCGGCUAACUACGUGCCAGCAGCCGCGGUAAUACGUAGGGGGCAAGCGUUAUCCGGAUUUACUGGGUGUAAAGGGAGCGUGGACGGACUGGCAAGUCUGAUGUGAAAACCCGGGGCUCAACCCCGGGACUGCAUUGGAAACUGUCAGUCUAGAGUGUCGGAGGGGUAAGUGGAAUUCCUAGUGUAGCGGUGAAAUGCGUAGAUAUUAGGAGGAACACCAGUGGCGAAGGCGGCUUACUGGACGAUAACUGACGUUGAGGCUCGAAAGCGUGGGGAGCAAACAAGAUUAGAUACCCUGGUAGUCCACGCCGUAAACG